GGGAAUCUUCGGCAAUGGGCGAAAAGCCUGACCGAGCGACGCCGCGUGAGGGAAGAAGGCCUUCGGGUUGUAAACCUCUGUCCUUGGGGAAGAAGGAGACGGUACCCAAGGAGGAAGCCCCGGCUAACUACGU
rnacentral:rRNA from 1 species